rnacentral:rRNA from 1 species
ACUUAAAUUGAAGAGUUUGAUCAUGGCUCAGAUUGAACGCUGGCGGCAGGCCUAACACAUGCAAGUCGAGCGGUAGCACAGAGAGCUUGCUCUCGGGUGACGAGCGGCGGACGGGUGAGUAAUGUCUGGGAAACUGCCUGAUGGAGGGGGAUAACUACUGGAAACGGUAGCUAAUACCGCAUAAUGUCGCAAGACCAAAGUGGGGGACCUUCGGGCCUCAUACCAUCAGAUGUGCCCAGAUGGGAUUAGCUAGUAGGUGGGGUAAUGGCUCACCUAGGCGACGAUCCCUAGCUGGUCUGAGAGGAUGACCAGCCACACUGGAACUGAGACACGGUCCAGACUCCUACGGGAGGCAGCAGUGGGGAAUAUUGCACAAUGGGCGCAAGCCUGAUGCAGCCAUGCCGCGUGUGUGAAGAAGGCCUUCGGGUUGUAAAGCACUUUCAGCGGGGAGGAAGGCGUUAAGGUUAAUAACCUUGGCGAUUGACGUUACCCGCAGAAGAAGCACCGGCUAACUCCGUGCCAGCAGCCGCGGUAAUACGGAGGGUGCAAGCGUUAAUCGGAAUUACUGGGCGUAAAGCGCACGCAGGCGGUCUGUCAAGUCGGAUGUGAAAUCCCCGGGCUCAACCUGGGAACUGCAUUCGAAACUGGCAGGCUAGAGUCUUGUAGAGGGGGGUAGAAUUCCAGGUGUAGCGGUGAAAUGCGUAGAGAUCUGGAGGAAUACCGGUGGCGAAGGCGGCCCCCUGGACAAAGACUGACGCUCAGGUGCGAAAGCGUGGGGAGCAAACAGGAUUAGAUACCCUGGUAGUCCACGCCGUAAACGAUGUCGAUUUGGAGGUUGUGCCCUUGAGGCGUGGCUUCCGGAGCUAACGCGUUAAAUCGACCGCCUGGGGAGUACGGCCGCAAGGUUAAAACUCAAAUGAAUUGACGGGGGCCCGCACAAGCGGUGGAGCAUGUGGUUUAAUUCGAUGCAACGCGAAGAACCUUACCUGGUCUUGACAUCCACAGAACUUUCCAGAGAUGGAUUGGUGCCUUCGGGAACUGUGAGACAGGUGCUGCAUGGCUGUCGUCAGCUCGUGUUGUGAAAUGUUGGGUUAAGUCCCGCAACGAGCGCAACCCUUAUCCUUUGUUGCCAGCGGUUAGGCCGGGAACUCAAAGGAGACUGCCAGUGAUAAACUGGAGGAAGGUGGGGAUGACGUCAAGUCAUCAUGGCCCUUACGACCAGGGCUACACACGUGCUACAAUGGCAUAUACAAAGAGAAGCGACCUCGCGAGAGCAAGCGGACCUCAUAAAGUAUGUCGUAGUCCGGAUUGGAGUCUGCAACUCGACUCCAUGAAGUCGGAAUCGCUAGUAAUCGUAGAUCAGAAUGCUACGGUGAAUACGUUCCCGGGCCUUGUACACACCGCCCGUCACACCAUGGGAGUGGGUUGCAAAAGAAGUAGGUAGCUUAACCUUCGGGAGGGCGCUUACCACUUUGUGAUUCAUGACUGGGGUGAAGUCGUAACAAGGUAACCGUAGGGGAACCUGCGGUUGGAUCACCUCCUUACCUUAAAGAA